rnacentral:rRNA from 1 species
UACGUAGGGUGCGAGCGUUAAUCGGAAUUACUGGGCGUAAAGCGUGCGCAGGCGGUUCGUUGUGUCGGCGGUGAAAGCCCCGGGCUUAACCUGGGAAUGGCCGUUGAAACUGGCGAACUGGAGUGUGGCAGAGGAUGGUGGAAUUCCCGGUGUAGCGGUGAAAUGCGUAGAGAUCGGGAGGAACAUCAGUGGCGAAGGCGGCCAUCUGGGACAACACUGACGCUGAAGCACGAAAGCGUGGGGAGCAAACAGG